rnacentral:tRNA from 1 species
GCAUUGGUGGUUCAGUGGUAGAAUUCUUGCUUGCCAUGUUGGAGGCCUGGGUUCCAUUCCCAGCCAAUGCA